AUUGAACGCUGGCGGUAUGCCUUACACAUGCAAGUCGAACGGUAGAGGGGCAACCCUCGAGAGUGGCGAACGGGUGAGUAAUACAUCGGAACGUGCCCAGUCGUGGGGGAUAACGUAGCGAAAGCUACGCUAAUACCGCAUACGACCCGAGGGUGAAAGCGGGGGACCUGCAAGGGCCUCGCGCGAUUGGAGCGGCCGAUGGCAGAUUAGGUAGUUGGUGGGGUAAAGGCCCACCAAGCCUGCGAUCUGUAGCUGGUCUGAGAGGACGACCAGCCACACUGGGACUGAGACACGGCCCAGACUCCUACGGGAGGCAGCAGUGGGGAAUUUUGGGCAAUGGGCGAAAGCCUGAUCCAGCCAUACCGCGUGCGGGAAGAAGGCCUUCGGGUUGUAAACCGCUUUUGUCAGGGAAGAAAUCUUCCGGGUUAAUACCUCGGGGGGAUGACGGUACCUGAAGAAUAAGCACCGGCUAACUACGUGCCAGCAGCCGCAGUAAGAC
rnacentral:rRNA from 1 species